UAACACGUGGGGAACCUGCCCCAUAGUCUGGGAUACCACUUGGAAACAGGUGCUAAUACCGGAUAAGAAAGCGGAUCGCAUGAUCAGCUUUUAAAAGGCGGCGUAAGCUGUCGCUAUGGGAUGGCCCCGCGGUGCAUUAGCUAGUUGGUAAGGUAAAGGCUUACCAAGGCGAUGAUGCAUAGCCGAGUUGAGAGACUGAUCGGCCACAUUGGGACUGAGACACGGCCCAAACUCCUACGGGAGGCAGCAGGA
rnacentral:rRNA from 1 species